rnacentral:rRNA from 1 species
GCAUACGACCAUACCCACUGGAAUAUACGGGAUCCCGUCCGCUCUCCCCUAGUCAAACCAGUGAGGGCCGAAUUAGUACUCAGGUGGGUGACCACUGGGGAAUCCUCGGUGUUGUAUGUUUUG